UACAGAGGGGGCAAGCGUUAUUCGGAAUUAUUGGGCGUAAAGGGCGCGUAGGCGGCCUUUCAAGUGACGGGUGAAAGCCCUCGGCUUAACCGAGGAACUGCCUGUCAGACUGGAAGGCUUGAGACCGGGAGAGGUGAGUGGAAUUCCCAGUGUAGCGGUGAAAUGCGUAGAGAUCCGGAAGAACACCGGUGGCGAAGGCGGUCUGCUGGGCAGUAGCUGACACUGAGGCGCGACAGCGUGGGGAGCAAACAGG
rnacentral:rRNA from 1 species